rnacentral:rRNA from 1 species
UACGGAGGGAGCUAGCGUUGUUCGGAAUUACUGGGCGUAAAGGGCUCGUAGGCGGCCAACUAAGUCGGACGUGAAAUCCCUCAGCUUAACUGGGGAACUGCGUCUGAUACUGGCAGGCUUGAGGACUGGAGAGGAGACUGGAAUUUACGGUGUAGCGGUGAAAUGCGUAGAUAUCGUAAGGAACACCGGUGGCGAAGGCGGCAUCCUGGACCAAUUCUGACGCUGAUGCGCGAAAGCCAGGGGAGCAAACGGG